rnacentral:lncRNA from 1 species
CAAGCUGCGCAUGCGCGUCCGUCCCCAUUGGCGAGCGAGGAGCCGACACCGGUCCUGUGGACCGGCGGAUGCUCACGUCGUCAUGGGAACGCACGGCUAAGGAGGGGCAGAAGUUUUUAUGAUCCUUAUUAAGCGCUCAUUACGUGCUUUGGGUGCCUCCCCCCGAGCCUGUGAGCAGGGAUCGUCCCUAUUGGCUUUCCUGUGAUAAUGAUGUUGGUAUUUGUUAAGCGCUUACUAUGUGCAGAGCCCUGUUCUAAGCGCUGGGGGAGAGACGGGGUCAUCAGGUUGUCCCACGUGAGGCUCCCAGUCUUCUUCCCAAUCUUCAAGAUGAGGGAACUGAGGCCCAGAGAAGUGAAAUGACUUACCCACGGUGUCCCAGCUGACAAGCGGCCGAACCGGGAUUCGAACCCAUGACCUCUGCCUCCCAAGCCCGGGCUCUUUCCACUGAGCCACGCUGCUAAGGAGGGGCAGAAGUUUUUAUGAUCUCUAUUAAGCGCUCGUUACGCGCUUUGGGUGCCUCCCCCCGAGACUGUGAGCAGGGAUCGUCCCUAUUGGCUUUAUUGUAAUAAUAUUGGUAUUUGUUAAGCGCUUACUACGUGCCGAGCACUGUUCUAAGCGCUGGGGGAGAUACAGGGGGAUCAGGUCGUCCCACGUGAGGCUCACAGUCUUCAUCCCCAUCUUCCAGAUGAGGGGCCUGAGGCCCAGAGAAGUGAAGUGACUCGCCCACGGUCACACAGCUGACAAGCGGCAGGGCCGGGAUUCAAACUCGUGACCUCUGGGACAGAGAAUUGGCUCUGAUGAAAAAUCGAAGGCCGGCGUCACGACGGGAAAACCCCGAGGAGCGCAGCAAUCUGUUCGGGCCGCCGGUUUCCUUUCCGGACGAAUAAGGACGAGCCCGUCGGCCCUCCGAAGAGUGACGGCGACCUGUUUACACAUCCACGAGCGAGGGCGAAUAGAGCGAUGGAUUCUCAUCCGCACGGUACAGAAGGAACGUGAACGGUUCUCCGGGAUGCCGGCCGGAAAGAAAGGCGGGCCGCCAUUUAAAAAUGAGACCAAGCCUCCGGAUCGCACGCGGUCCCUUACCGUCUUGGGAACAGUCGACUGCGGGCCCACUGAAGUCGCCUGAGCAGCGGUGUGGCCCAGUGGAAAGACCACACGGACCCGGGCGUCGGAGGACCUGGGUUCUGAUCCCUGCUCCACGGGUGUCUGCUGUGGGACCUUGAGCAAGUCACUUAGCUCCUCCGUCGCCUCAUCUAGAAAACGGACUCCGAGCCCCACGCGGGGCAGGGACCGUAGCUAACCCGACCAGCUCACGGCUGCCCAGUCGAUCAUCAGUCGAUCGUAUUUAUUGAAGCGCUGUACUUUGGGAGAGCACCGUGGUAACAAGGUGGUAUUCGCGUUCCCUGCCGCAGCGAGCUCACAGUCUCGAGGGGUAGACGACAUACUCCCCGACCUUAGUACGGUGUCUGUACUAGGUACGAUAAACAGC